rnacentral:rRNA from 1 species
AUUGAACGCUGGCGGCAGGCCUAACACAUGCAAGUCGAACGGUAACAGGAAGCAGCUUGCUGCUUCGCUGACGAGUGGCGGACGGGUGAGUAAUGUCUGGGAAGCUCUCUGAUGUAGGGGGAUAACAAGUGGAAACGGUAGCUAAUACAGCAUAAUGUCGCAAGCCUAAAGAGGGGGACCUUUGGGCCUCUUGCUAUAGGAUGUGCCCAGAUGGGAUUAGCUUGUUGGUGGGGUAACGGCUCACCAAGGCGACGAUCUCUAGCUGGUCUGAGAGGAUGACCAGCCACACUGGAACUGAGACACGGUCCAGACUCCUACGGGAGGCAGCAGUGGGGAAUAUUGGACAAUGGGCGCAAGCCUGAUGCAGCCAUACCGCGUGUGUGAAGAAGGCCUUCGGGUUGUAAAGUACUUUCGUCGGGGAGGAAGAGAGUAAGGUUAAUACCUUGCCGCAUUGACGUUACCCGCAGAAGAAGCACCGGCUAACUCCGUG